UGGGGAAUAUUGGACAAUGGGCGCAAGCCUGAUCCAGCCAUGCCGCGUGAGUGACGAAGGUCUUCGGAUUGUAAAGCUCUUUUAGCAGGGAAGAUAAUGACGGUACCUGCAGAAUAAGCCCCGGCUAACUUCGUGCCAGCAGCCGCGGUAAUACGAAGGGGGCUAGCGUUGUUCGGAAUUACUGGGCGUAAAGCGCACGUAGGCGGAUUGAUAAGUUAGAGGUGAAAUCCCGGGGCUCAACCUCGGAACUGCCUUUGAUACUGUUAGUCUCGAGUCCGAUAGAGGUGAGUGGAAUUCCUAGUGUAGAGGUGAAAUUCGUAGAUAUUAGGAAGAACACCAGUGGCGAAGGCGGCUCACUGGAUCGGUACUGACGCUGAGGUGCGAAAGCGUGGGGAGCAAACAGGAUUAGAACCCACGUAGUCCCUGAGCGGGCUGGCAAGGCGCAU
rnacentral:rRNA from 1 species